UCUCAUCAGUGCUCCUGUGGUCCUUGCCAAGUGCAAAUUGUAGCUCCGCGGUUUUUCAUUCCUUUUCACACAGUGAAAUUUUUUCCUUUUGUGGUCAAGCAACAAGUUAUUGAUUUCUCCAUUUUACAACCCUUCCAAAUUGAUUGGGAAAUUUCAUACUCCAUAUCAAAAGUGAGCUUCAUCUCAUCAGGCGUACAAAAGUAGUGUCAACCGUACUGUGUUAUUUUAUAAUUUUUAAGAGAAACACCAAAGUCUUUAAGAAAAAAAGCAUCGAGAGAUCUCUGGGAUCCCUUAAAUCCUAAUUAAACACCCCACCAUCAUCCCCUACAUUUUGUUUUCUUCAAUAUUAGUGCUAUUGCUGCGGUUGGGUGUGGGCGAAUUUGCGCCCCGCCACAGG